AAAGAACCAAGCCCUGUGUGUGCCAACAGAAUAGUCACAAUAGUCACGGAUGCUGCAGCUGCCAGCAUGUAAGUUAACAAGAAGAGAGGCCAGGAGCCAUGAGUCAACAUUUGAGAACAUCCUGAGAAAGAGAAGAAUCACCUAGAAACCAGGUCCCUUCACUCAACACUGGAGAGCAUUUACAUAUUGCCCGAUAUCCAAAAAUCAACUUUUAAAAAAUAUUUUAAGGGGAAAAAAGGAAAGAUUCUCCACUAAUCGGAUAUCAGAUUACUUGGCAGCUACAAAGAGGGAUAAUUUUGAGUGUGGAAAGCUACCUGGUGACCCUCAAUCAGACCACAUGGAGACUCGCCAACAAGAAAGAACAGCCCUGGAAGCAUGUAGUAUCUAUUCAUAAAUUACUUGACUCUGAACUCUGGAUAUGGCAAUGAUUUUAGUGGUAGCCGUAAAUCAGACAAAUACCUGAAAAUGGAGAAAAUGGGGUUUACUGUCAGCAUGCCAAAAUCACUUUAAUCAAAUAAGGAAGCACAAUUUCAAUUGAUCGUUACUUUCAUAUUAGUUUUCUUCAUUCAUUGAUCCUAAGAAUGAAUAUAAAUGAUUCCCAAAACAUUGUUUACUUUUCUUACCAUCACUCAUUGAUAUAUUGAAGUCUGCAGAUGUCCUUUGAUUCUUGGUAGCUGUUAAUUAAGCAGGUGUUCAGUUCCUCUUCAGUCUGUCAACAGUCUGUCUCUUUCUUCCUUUCAUUCUACUUAGUCAAUAAAGUGAAAAUAUUCAAAGUAUGUGCU
rnacentral:lncRNA from 1 species